GCCAGCAGCUUUAUCACCCUGCAGCUCACAUCCAGCCCCACACGGGAGCUCAGCAGGUGUGGGCCUGGCCAGUACCUGGAAGGGAGACCUCCUGGGAAAAACUAUGGUUGCUGCUGGAA
rnacentral:rRNA from 1 species